GUGCAGCACAUAUACUAAGACUGGAAUGGUACAGGGAAGAUUAGCAGGGCCCCUGUGCAAGGAUGGCAUGCAAAUUCGUGAAACACUGAAUAAUAAA
rnacentral:snRNA from 1 species